rnacentral:rRNA from 1 species
GACGAACGCUGGCGGCGUGCUUAACACAUGCAAGUCGAGCGAUGAAAUUCUCUUCGGAGAAUGGAUUAGCGGCGGACGGGUGAGUAACACGUGGGUAACCUGCCUUAUAGUGGGGGAUAGCCUUUCGAAAGGAAGAUUAAUACCGCAUAAUAUUGUAGUUUCGCAUGAAACAACAAUUAAAGAUUUAUCGCUGUAAGAUGGACCCGCGGCGCAUUAGCUAGUUGGUGGGGUAACGGCCUACCAAGGCGACGAUGCGUAGCCGACCUGAGAGGGUGAUCGGCCACAUUGGGACUGAGACACGGCCCAGACUCCUACGGGAGGCAGCAGUGGGGAAUAUUGCACAAUGGGGGAAACCCUGAUGCAGCAACGCCGCGUGAGUGAUGACAGUCUUCGGAUUGUAAAGCUCUGUCUUUAGGGACGAUAAUGACGGUACCUAAGGAGGAAGCCACGGCUAACUACGUG